UACAGAGGGUGCGAGCGUUAAUCGGAAUUACUGGGCGUAAAGCGCACGUAGGUGGCGACGUAAGUCGGGUGUGAAAGCCCCGGGCUCAACCUGGGAAUUGCAUUCGAGACUGCAUUGCUGGAGUACGGAAGAGGAGGGCGGAAUUCCCGGUGUAGCGGUGAAAUGCGUAGAUAUCGGGAGGGACAUCAGUGGCGAAGGCGGCCCUCUGGUCCAGUACUGACACUCAAGUGCGAAAGCGUGGGGAGCAAACAGG
rnacentral:rRNA from 1 species